AUGCCAGAGGCUCUAUUUCCUAGCAUUUUACAGCUCCUAUAACUGUAGAAUGGUUGUAGGUCACAGGUAUAACCAAUGAAAACACAACCUAAGAUACAAAUCAGGAGCUACUGAUGCAAAGAAUGGGGACCAGGAGGAAGAGUUUCUUCGAGACCUGGUGGUUGAAGAGCAGUGGAUCAUUCUUGGCUGUGGUGGGAGAGGUGCUGAACGUUGUUCACGCUGGCUAUGUCAUGAGUGGAAUCUAUGGCGUCAAGGCUAGGUGCUUCCAAGACCAAGAUAACCAGGCAAUCAUAGUAGAUGCAUCAAUGCACCCUUGCCCAAGGGCCUAGACAAGAGGAGGAAGGAAAGGAGGAGCACGUGCACAAAGCUAAGGAGGUGAUUAACAACAUGAUACAGUAUUGUUUAGCUUCGCAUGAAUUUUAUCACCUUGCCUAGAACCAGCCACCAUCUGCCAGGGCUCCUGACUUUUUCUGAAAUGAAUAGACACUAAAGCCUGCUGGGGAAUUUCAUGGAAAUCAAGAUGACUCAACCCAGAGUCCAUUUCAAGGCUAGGAUGCUAGAGGACGCCAACAAAGGAGUAGGGAAGUGAAACGGAUCAGCUCACAUCCAAGCCCUUGCAUGAUCAAUCCUGCAGUAGGAGUGCUGCUCAGUUGGGACUCAUGAGAGCCCGGAAGAGGAAAAAGCAGCUCUAAGCAUAGCAAAGAAGCUGUUAUGGAAAAGACCCAAAUGUUAAAAUGGUGGACAUAGUAAAGUGAUUGGUUCUGCUUAGGGGAAUCUAGAUCCCCACAUUUUGACCUCCACUGGAGUCUCAGAAGAACAAGUGCCAGGGGGGCUUGCCACAGAGGCCAAGGCAGUGAAUGUCAGGCACAUCACAGUCCCCAAGAUGGGGAGAAGACUGAGAUGCAGGGUAACAACUGCAAUCCAUUCAUGGGAGCCAUGUUUAUCUUAAAUCAUUGACAGUGAGAUAAGGAUCAUGUCAGCCUUCAUACCUUUGAUGAUGAUCCCAGGCUGCAACAGUGACACAUAGAACUGGAUUCAGUAACUAACUACAGAUUCCAUCAACCAGGACUAGUAAAGUGAAAGGCAGAAAUUGGGAGGAGGGGUUUCUUUCUUGCUUAUAAAACUUUAUUUGGUUGUGUUGAGUAUGUGCAUGUAUGUAUGAAAUCCCAUAAAGCAGUCUUCUUAGGAACAAGCCAACAUGCCACAAUGUAGGAGAUCUUUGGAGCACUGGCCUAAAUGGCAGAGAGCUCAAGGGACUCUGCUUUGUACAAGGCAUGAUUUGUACCACCACCACUAUCCCUGUUUCAGAGCACUGUUGAAUUGUUCCAAACCUGGAUUUCUAUGUCAGCUCCCUGUCUAUAGUACUUGACUGAUAAAUGCUAGUUUCUGAAAUCUGCUUUGGUUCUAUAAUUUAUUAGACAGCUUUUUCUUCCCAUUUUAUUACUUGUUUUUACUGUCAUUGGUAUAUUAUCUCUUACAGUGAAAACAUUCAUAGGCUGAUUGAAGAGAAGAUCUGAAAUUAUUAGGCAGCAAGCAUACAAAACCCUUGCUUUAUAAAGAUAAUAUCUUAAAGGCCUAAUGUCUAUGGUUCAAAGCAGCCUGGAGAUGUUGGCUAAAUCUUCCAUCAUAGAGUCCUCAUGGGAUCUGGAAGCUCUGAUUUAUCUUCCUUCAGGCCCUAUAAGUUAGCUUUCCACAUCUGUAGGUUCCACA
rnacentral:lncRNA from 1 species